rfam:Eimeria brunetti, Houghton, WGS project CBTX01000000 data, contig: Ebh_contig21_13
AUACCUUCUCGGCCUUUUGGCUAUGAUCAAGUGUAGUAUCUGUUCUUAUCAGUGUGACAACUGAUAUGGAUCCAACUGGAUCCAAUUCUGUCACAUCAAUUUUUGAUUGGAGAGGAUAGGACCCUGAGCUUGCUCAGACCUUCCUCGAGCGUUGUCCUGCCCUUACACUUUUCGGCAGGGUCGGCGCAUCCACU